CUAACCGCGGCCCGUUAUCCGGGUCCGGGACCCUGCGUGGUGGGUAGUUUGACUGGGGCGGUCUCCUCCUAAAGAGUAACGGAGGAGCACGAAGGUGCGCUAAUCACGGUCGGAAAUCGUGAGGUUAGUGUAAAGGCACAAGCGCGCUUGACUGUGAGUCUGACAAGACGAACAGGUACGAAAGUAGGUCUUAGUGAUCCGGUGGUUCUGUAUGGAAGGGCCAUCGCUCAACGGAUAAAAGGUACGCCGGGGAUAACAGGCUGAUGGUGCCCAAGAGUCCAUAUCGACGGCACCGUUUGGCACC
rnacentral:rRNA from 1 species